GUGCCAGUGGUGUACGGAACACACACCAUCCUUGUGCCUUGAAAUUGCUCUGCGUUAUGGGGUGAUCGGGGUUCGACUCCCCGCUGGUGCA